CCCGCUUAGAUAAGGAAAAAAAAAACACAACAUGGAAAUCUCCAAGAAUUCACUAGCAAUUGCUUUUCUUUUUGCCUUAGCUAUAACAAUCCCUCUAUCCCUUGCCCAAGACUCCCCACAAGACUACGUCAAUGCCCACAAUAAUGCUCGUGCACAGAUAGGUGUUGGAAAUAUUGUGUGGGACAAUAAUGUGGCAGCUUAUGCAAGUAACUAUAUUAAACGGCUCACCGGCGAUUGCAGACUUGUGCAUUCUGGCGGGCCUUACGGCGAGAACCUUGCAGGAGGUAGUGGUGAUCUUACAGGCAGCGCUGCGGUGAAAUUGUGGGUCGAUGAGAAACCAAAGUAUGAUUACAACUCCAAUUCAUGUGUUGGUGGAGAAUGCAGGCAUUAUACUCAGGUGGUUUGGCGCAACUCGGUUCGUUUGGGUUGUGCUAAGGCAAGGUGCAGCAAUGGCGGUACAGUCAUCAGUUGCAAUUAUUCUCCCCCCGGCAACUACGUUGGCCAGCGUCCUUACUAGGGUUUGGUAUGCAGGAAUGUGUGCGUCAUAAAUAAGGCAUGUCGUUUGGCCAGUGAUAGUAAAAUGGAAACGAUGUAUUUCCGCGACUAAUUAUAUCAAACGAUAUUAUGGUGCAAUAAUAUUCACUUCAAUUUCUCUGGAAAAUGAAGUUUCAAUUAACUAAUACUUCAUAGGGAAAAGGAGAGAUAUAUUCCUCCCAACAAUUAAUCCCUUAAAUCUCCAUCAAGCCUCCCCGUAUUGAGAUAAUCAUUGCUAUAAUAUCAAAUAAAAAUUUAAAAGAUUUGUUUAGCUUAAAUUAUUAUUUUUUAAUUAUGUUGAAUUCUUUUACGGUCGAGCUAAUAAGAGAAAAUUCAGCUACCACUUUGAACCGCACUAUCAUGAAAAAAAUGGAUAUUAUUUCAUUAUGAAAAUGGAUGAAUGAAAAUGAAGACGAUUAGACGACUUAAGUAGAAGAGCACAUGAUCCGUAUAGUGACAACCAUGACCGUGAGGUCAACAUAGCAUAUUCUUAAUAAAUAAAUAAGAAAUUCUAAAUUAGAUAUUUUUAUAUCACGACCAUAAUUAGAUUAAAAAUGAAGAUAAUAAAAUAUUUAUUAGGAUAGACAAAUUACCUUAAUAUUUGAAUUAGGGCACUAUUUUUUCAUAGAUGUUAUUAUGACACUUUUUUCUUUGCUGGAAAGUCUUUUUGUAUCUACCUAAUUAUUAAGUUUUAUGACAAAUCCGAAAAAAAAACUUUGUAUUGAUUUUGUCCUCCAUAUUGUUUCAAAAAUUCUUAAUUAAGUCUUUUCAUCCAUAUAUUCUUAUCAUGGAUUCUAUCCACGUUAUUGUAUUUUUGCAAAACAAUUAAUAAUAAUAUCGUCUCAUAAAGAACUUAAGAUGUUUUGUUAUAUAAUUCUAAUAAUUGAGAAAUAAAAAUUAGUUAACAAUAAAAUUGAUAUAUAUAAGAUACAAAUUAAUAUUAAUAUAGUAGCUGGUGUCAUUUUUGAGGUUUGCCUUUAAUUUUAGUCAGAAGAAAGAAUUUUGACCUUUCCAAUAAAGGAGAAAAUUAUUGAUGGCUAGAAGACAAUACUUGCAAGAAAGCAAAGGGAUAAGAAGCAUUAUUAUGCAAGUGAAACUUCAACAUCUCACCCUUGGACCAAUUUGAGUUUAUACUGCCAUCCCAGUUUUUAAUCAUUGCCCGGUAUGGAGAUUAGCGAAAAUUCUUUAGCAAUUGCUUGUCUCAUUGCCUUAGCCUUACUAUUCCCUGUCUCACCCUUGGCUCCGUUUAUUUGCUGGAAAGUAGUUUCUUUUUGGAAAGUGAAUUCCGGGGAAAGUGAAUUCCGGGAAAGUGAAUUCCGAGAAAGUAUUUUCCGAUGUUUGGUAGUGUAAUGGAAAAUGAGCUGGAAAACACUUUCCAGUGUUUGGUUAUGUCAUGGAAAAUGAGCUGGAAAAUAACUUAUUAAUAUUUUAUUUUUCUUGAGUUUAUUAAAAUAUCAAGGAACAAAUCUUACAAAUUAAAAAGUUGAAUGAGAAUGAAAUUGAAAAAAAAUAUAUAAUUUCAUAAAUUAUCUCAAAUAAAAUAAAAAAAUAAUCAAAAUAAUAGAGAUCAAAUCUAAAAAAUAAAAAAAUAAUAAAAGAUGAAGAAAUUAAAAUAAUAAUAAUUAACAUUUCAUAAAUUAUUUCAAAUAAAAUAAGUAACAAUAAAAAAAUUGAAGACCAAAUUUGAUAGAUACAAAAUUUCAAUAAAAAAAUGAUAAGGAAAAGGCAAAUAGCAAUUAUAAAAUAAGGACCAAAGUUAAUAUAAAAAUAAAAUUUUAAGAGAUGAAAUUAAAAAAUAAAUAUCCAAAACAAAAAAUAUAUAUAGCAAUCAAAAGUUUGAGGAUCAAAUUUGAUAUAAUCAGGAAAUAAUGAUAUUUUUAAAUUUUUCACAACUUCCGGAAAGUGUUUUCCCCUCAAAUUUUUCAGGAAAACACUUUCCUGAAAACCAAGCCAAACUUUCCUUUUACUGGAAAGUGUUUUCCAUUGACCAACUUUCCUACUGGCAAACAAACACAAGAAAGUUUGGAAAGUGAUUUCCCGGAAACCACUUUCCGGAAAACAAACACAAGAAAGUUUGGAAAGUGAUUUCCCGGAAAUCACUUUCCGGAAAACAAACACAGCUAAAGGGAAAACACUUUUCUAAAAACCAAGUCAAAUUUUUCUUUGACUGAAAUUGACUGGAAAGUGUUUUCCGUUGACCGGAAUGUAUUUUCCGUUGACCGGAAAGUGUUUUCCGUUGACCGGAAAGUGUUUUCCGUUGACCGGAAAGUGUUUUCCGUUGACCAACUUUCCUAAUGACAAACAAACACAGGAAAGUUUGGAAAAUGGUUUCCCGAAAAGUGUUUUCCGGGAAACAAACAUAGCCUACAUUAAUGCUCACAAUGCUGCUCGUGCAGAGGUUUGAUUUAGUUCUUAUCUUGGUAUUUUACGUACCUAAUAAAUUCGUAUUUUGGAAGGAUAAUGAAAGAGUUUUUGUUUUCUUGUUCUUCCCACUCCUUUUAGACGUAGGCAGAAGAGAAUAAAAUCAAAGUAACUGCUGAGUUCAUUGUGUAGAAUUUUGAUUUAUACCUUAUCAUAUGAAAAAUGAGAGUGCUCCUGGAGAGGGUCACUCAACUAGUUUUAAUUUGUUUUCAGUUUAAAUCACAACCACAAAAACUAAAUGAAAUACAAACACACUUAUUAUCACUAUAGCAAGAAUUUAAUUUCUACUCAUAAAAAAAGAAGAAGAAGUAGUCAUAGCUUCAUCGGGCCAGCUAUUUCCUUGAACGUUCCUCCCAUGUUACACGGCACAUUAUUUUGAUAGAAUGCAGCCAACACAUGCUUGACCUUAACAAAGCUCUACUUUUUUUUCUUUUGGGGUCAUGCUCGUGAUCAUAAGAUAAUAACAAGUUUGGAUAUUGUCGAACGUGUCAACUUUUAAUGGGCAUGUUACACGCACACUUUUUCUCUAUUUUCGAAUCAUUUUGCUAUAUAAAAACUGAUUUUUUACUGUCAUUAUGCUAAGGUCAGUUUGCCAAAUCUGAAGAUUACGCGAGAGUUUAAUUCCGUAUGGAAUUAAUUUGAAUUUUAAUAUCCUAAGAGAAGACCUGUCCUUCAAAGAUUAAGCCAAUUUUCCCUUGUAUUCAUGUCAAUCCACUUUUUAUAUCACUGUUUAUGCGUUUGGUAAGAGAUUUGUUUUUUAAUUUUCUUGGAGGAUUGCAUUUCAAUAGAAAAAUCAACUACCUGGUCUUUAAUUAAUCUCUCGAGGAAAGAAAAGAAAAGAAAGAAAGAGAUGGUGUCAUGUUGUUGACGCAAUCAUAGAUGAUGAUAAACAAUGGAUCGAAGCGGCGUGAUUUGUGGAAUAAAAAUUUGAAAACACAAGAAUACAAGCGGGCAGUGACAAGGGAAAACACAAGGAAGGGCCACUCAAUAUUAAUAAAGAGAACUUUGCAUGGAGCUGCGGAGACCUUUCUGGUACAGAUGCUGUGGAAAUGUGGAUUCAUGAGAAGGCAAACUAUGGCUUCAACUCGAAUUCACUAUUGGCAUUAAAUACAUUAGUUAUUUUUGGCAUAAAUUAAGGGUGAUUUAUGUAACAUGAUUUACUUUUACCCGGAUUCUUAUUUAAAGCAAAGUGAUAUUUAAAGGAACUAAAAGCAAAGUGAUAACCUAAGCGUAUCCAAGUGCUGGACACAAUCAUAUAUGAGUCUGAUAAGCUGUUAAACUCAACAUUUCUGGGCUUAGCCAAAUACUAAUAAUAAGUAUAUACCUAGACUCAGCACCCUUGGGCUCAACCAAGUGUUGAUCCCAAGCAUAUGCGGGUCUGACGAGUUGCUAGACCAAGCAUUGUUGGGCUAAGUCAAGCAUUGAGCUCAAGUAUAUACGAGUAUGACGAGUUGGCAAACCCAAAUCCUUUGGGUUUAGCCAAGCAUUGAGCCCAAACAUAAAUAGGUUUGACGAGCUGUCAGACCGAGAUGCCAGACCCAACAUCUUUGAGCACAACCAAGUGCUGAGCUCAAGUACGUAUGGCUUUGAUAAUCUUGUUAGGCUUAAUGUUGGACCACAAGAUUCUGACGAGUCAAAUAUAUUUUUUCUUUUGAUGAGUCAUAUAUAUUUUCUCUCUUGAAAAUAUAAGAGAUGUUUAAUGCUAUUAGAAAAAUAUAACUUUUCAAUCCUUAUAUGCACCAAAGGAUAAGAAUCAUAGGCUAUAAAAACCCAUUGAAUCCUUAAAAGAAGCAAGUUCACAAUCUCCAUUCUUUACUGCAUAUUUAUUUUUAGAGUCUCUCUAAAAUAUUAUUGCAUUUUCUCUCAAGAAAAUAUUUAAGCAUCAUAGAGUCCCCAAAUCCAUUAAAAGAGAUCUUUUGCAGGUACCAACCAUUAGUCAUUUUGGCUUACCAAACACUAGCCAUCAACCACCUUAACUAGAGAGAAUGAAUCAUAUUGCUAGAACUAAGAGAUUAACCAAUUAUCCAAUACAUAAACUUUGUUUUAAGCUACAAGUGUUAAGAACAAUGGUUGUGAAACCAAACUAAAAGGUGAAACAAGAAGUUCCUUUACAUUAAAGGUCAUUUCUCCUAUUAAAGCCAAAUGAUGGUUAUAGCUCUCAUCAUGCAUUAUUGAGAUGUUUGAUGGGAUGGUUAGGAUCCUUUCCAGUAGUCUUCAUCACCUCAAGACUAGUCUCCUCAGGGCUUGGUCAUCCACUAACAAUGGCCUCCAUAAGUUGUCGCUCCUUCUUAGUCAGGGUAGGGAAAUUGAAAGGAGCUCGACCAAUAAUGAGGUUAGCAAAAACAUUCUCAAGUUUAACGCUAUCAGGAAUAGCCCAAGUAAAAGGCCCAACUGUUGCAGCCUCUAUAGGCAAGGUUAGAAGUUGAAGUAAAGGGAAUGCCAUCACUAGAGCCUUCAUGAUCAAGGAUGGAACACCAAUCUCUAUAGGGGUGGAGACCUUCUUUCUCUUGAAGCGGGCAACAACUACUGCAAUUACUUUAGAGGGAGUCAAAUCUACUUGACCCUCGACUAGUACGAAGACCCAAUCUUCCUAUUCUACGGUAGUCCUGACUCCCACUGUUGUUUUUUAGAAACAGAGAGUACAUUAACAAUGGUGGGGUUGUUCUCAAUCACAUCUCUAUUUCUGCCUUUACUUAUGUCAAGAGAUGAAGACUUUCUUUGUGAACUCUUUAUAGACCUUGUUUAAGUUUCUCCUUCUCCUUUAGCUAUUAGUUCUACAUAAAAAAGAAGUUAGCAAUAAACUUAGUUACAUAGAAGAAAAAAAAAUCAAGAGAUAGAGACUUACUUUGUAAAGUCUCUACAGACCUUGCUAAAGUUUCUCUUUCGCGUUAUCUGUUAGUUCUACAUAAAAAAGAAGUCAGCAAUAAACCUAGAUACAUAGAAAACAAAGUAUAAGGAAGUUGUAUACUUCGUAAUGUGGGCUGAUAAUAUCGUUUUGGCUAUUUUAUUGACUUUAUACUCAGUCAAGGUCAAGGCCAUUAUAACAUAUAUUUUCUCCUUAUCCGAGCUCAAAUGAAGCUUGAUGUUUACAUCAAGGAAGGAACCCUCCAAUAACAGGAAUAAUCCUAUAACUAUUACAUUCCACCUUUAGGACUAACUAACCUGCUAUACCUUAUAAUCAGCCUACCUACACUUUAACUUCUUGACGUGCACGAGCUUUCUAACCAGAGUUCUUUCAUGGAUCUAAUAGGUCUAUUGGAGAAGGUGUAAAACCAAUGCACAUUGCUAUAAUCAGUGCCAACAAUCAAAUAAUAAUAAUUUCUAAAGACAUUAAUUGUAGGCUCGAUUCCGACAAGCUUAAAAAACUUAUCAAAGAUAAACAAGGUUAUCCACCCAUUAGGGUGCAACUGGUCUAAACCUAAUUAGAGGGAGAAGGAAUACCCUAAUGCAUACUACUAAUAAACUUUUAAAAAUUGUUGUGUAUUAAAUAUGUAAAUAUUUGAGGGGCUAUUGAUGGAUCAAUAUGUUUUAUUUUUACCUGGAUCCUCAUUUAAAAGAAUCAAAGGCAGGGUGAUAACUUAACAUCCUUGGGAUCAUCCAAACAAUGAGAUCAAGCAUAUAUGGGUUUAGUGAGCUACCAAACUUAACAUCAUUGGGCUCAACCAAGUGUUGAGCUCAAACAUAUAUGGGUCUAGUGAUUUGCUAGACUUAAUAAUUUUUUGCUCAUCCAAACAUUGAGCCCACUUAUAUAUGGGUCUUGGAGCUGUCAAAUCCAGCGCUCUUAGACUUAGCACUUAGCCUAUGCUUAUAUGGGUCUGACGAGCUAUCAUAACCAACACCCUUAUACUUAACCAAGCGUUGAGUCCAAACAUAUACGGGUCUGAUAAGUUAUUAGACCCAGCAUCAUUGGGCUUAGCCAAGUGCUGAGCCCAUGAAUAUAUAAGUCUAAUGAGAUGCCAAAACCAUUAUUCUCGGGCUCAGUUAAAUGUUAAGCCCAAGUAUGUAUGACUCUAGUAAUCUUAGUAGACUUCAUGUUGGACUACAAGAUUCUAAUGAGUCAGAGAUUUUUCCCUUGAUGAGUCAAAAUAUAUUUUCCCUCUUGCAUACAUAAAAGAUGUUUAAUGCUAUCAGGGAAACAUAACUUUUUAGUCCUCUUCUCCAUUAAAAACUAAGGAUCGAUCGUAGGCUAUAUGACCCAUUGAAUCCUUAAAAGAAGCAGAAUCACAAUCUUUAUUCUUUAGUGUAUAUUUAUUUUUAAUGUCUCCUUAAAAUAUUAUUUUAUUUUAUCUUAGAAUGAUACUUAUCACAGAAUCCCUAAAUCUAUAUAUAUAUAUAUAUAUAUAUAUAUAUAUAUAUAUAUAUAUAUAACCUUUUACAGGUACUAACAAUCAGUUAUCUUGGCUUACUAGGCACCAAGCACUAGUGACCAUGGUUAAAAAAAAUGGAUCAUAUUACUAGAACUAAGAAAUUAUGUGAUUGUCCAAUACAUAAAUUAUUCUUAAACUACUUGAAUUUUUUAAAACAACAUCAAAAUAACAUAAGAGUCAGAUAUACAAGUCAUGCAGACCUACUAAUCUUUUAAUGGUGGCAUGAGAUAUUUUGUUAUUAAUAUCUAUUCAUAUGGAAACCAUUUUGACUAACUACAUGGCUUGAAAUUUGCACCAAGAUAACUUUACGUAUCUACAGUAGUGAGCCAGACGUAACUACUAGCUACAAUUAAUAUGUGGUGCCAUUGCACUUAAAUUUCUUUAUUAGAUGACACAUAAUGUUUUGACUGCUAGUAUUGCUAGGACUUAUUAAAAGGAAUGAAGGGACUAUUUUAGUCCACAACUUUUGAUCAUAAUCUUCUCGCAUUGCUCGUUGAUGGACCUCGCUGCUAAUAGUGCUGACUUGACAGCCAUAGAUGCUGUGAAUUUGUGGUUAGAAACGAUUACAAAUCUAGUUCUUGUGUCGAGCAAGAGUGCAUGGCUUGUAUUAACGUGGUCUUGCGCAUCUUUCAUCGUUUAGGUUGUGCUGAAGCGAGAUGCAAUAAUUGAGGCCCGGUCAUUUAUUGCGCCUGAGACCCGCCCGGCGACAUCGCUGGCAAGCGUCCUUACUAGCAUAAUGAAGCUUCUAUUCUGAGAAACGGCAAUAGAAUGAAAACAAUCUAAAAAGAAAUCGUCCUAAUAGCAGAACCCUCAAUUUCCACAGAAACCUCCAGAAAUGAACGUCUUCUCUUGUCUUUAAUCUGUAACUUUGACCUUAAGUUUACAUCUCCCAAUUAAUAAUCGUGAUUCGUUUCGUUUAUCUCACGUAAUUGUCGCGCAGCCACCGGUGACCAGAGACGUUAACAGUGACAUGACUUCCCAAGCAGCCAGAAAAAGUUAACAAAUCAUUUAUCGCAUAUGAUCUAAAACAGACCUGUAACCAUAAAGAACGAUAAGCUUGACUUAUACACAAGUCAUUAAUGUCCACAAUUUUAAGGAAAUGGUAUGUGGAUGUGGUAUGAUUAUUUUUUAAAGUGUGUUUUUGUUUAGAAAUAUAUUAAAAUAAUAUGUAUGUAUUUUCAUCAUUUUUUUUCAAGUGUGUACGUAUAUUAAUCCUGUCUUGAAUUGCAGGAAUUUUAGUUGAUGAACUCACUGAUAAAUCAGGAAACGAAAGUACUGUAAAAACCAAUAUCAUAUAAAAAUCCAACGAGCAACUUUUUGAUUUGUCUUCUCUGUAAUUAGAAGGAUUUUUUCAUACUCACCUCCAUUCUUAAGUGGAUUCGUUCAUUUUUGUAAAAAAAUAAUUUUCAGGAAAAGAGAAACUUAAUUACAAAUUAUAGUUUAAAACAAAUAUUAUAAUUAAAGACACUAUAUGUAAAACUGAUUGUACGUAUUAUAAAAAAAGAAAAGAAAAUACCAUACGUUCAUUAAAAUAAAUAUGUAUUUCACAAAAAAAAAACAAUAAAUACAAAAUAAUAAAUAAUGACAAAAUAAUAAAUACAAGAAUUACAGAUAUAAAUAUAUGUGGGUACGAUGCGUUUCCGUCGGCCAUCGUCUUUGCAAGGCUAUUCAACUCCUGUCCCGGUCUUCGCUUAAUUUUACAAGUAGAAAUCUUUCUUAAUUCACACUAAAUUGAAUUCAUAUAUAGAUGUGGGUUUAAACGGACCUCUCUAUUAGCACUCUCAGAAAGUCGUUGAUUAAUUAUCCAUCCAAGAGGCAUAAUUAAAUACUAUAUAUUGUACUCGUGUGCUAAAAUAAUUCCAUCUUUUAUAUAUAUAUAUAUAUAUAUAUAUAUAUAUAUAUAUAUAUAUAUAAACAAUAUCUCCUUUCUAUGAAAAAUUGAAGGCAAUUCUAGAAAACGAACACAAAGACCAGAUUAGCUGAUUUUACCACGUGAUAUUAUCUUCAAAUUACCUGACAAGACCGCAACUAGAAUUCUUUAGUCAUUCCACUGUAGUAUUUGAGUAAUACCAUGUUUGGUGAUGCAUUUUAAAAAUAUUAUUUUGAAAAUAUUUUGUGUUUAUACUAAAAAUAAAUUUUAUUUUUUAAAAAAAUAUAUUAAUUUAAUAUAUUUUUAAAAAUAACUGCUAUCAAAAUAAAUAUCAAACGGGAUCAAGUUGCUUGACAUUUGGCCAUGAUGGUCUCAUGAAUUAAAACAAUUUCCCCCAGGCCCUAUAUAUACAUGCGUCCGCUCUUUCUCAUUCAUAACAAAACUAUUUCACAUCCCGCUUUGAAAAGAAACAAAACAACGACAUGGAAAUCCCCAAGAAUUCACUAGCAAUUGCUUUUCUUAUUGCCUUAGCUAUAACAAUCCCUCUGUCCCUUGCCCAAGACUCCCCACAAGACUACGUCAAUGCCCACAAUAAUGCUCGUGCACAGGUAGGUGUUGGAAAUAUUGUGUGGGACAAUAAUGUGGCAGCUUAUGCAAGUAACUAUAUUAAACG
rnacentral:lncRNA from 1 species